UAGGGAAUAUUGGACAAUGGGGGCAACCCUGAUCCAGCCAUGCCGCGUGAGUGAAGAAGGCCCUCGGGUUGUAAAGCUCUUUUGUCCGGAAAGAAAAGCAUUCGGUGAAUACCCGGAUGUUCUGACGGUACCGGAAGAAUAAGCACCGGCUAACUUCGUGCCAGCAGCCGCGGUAAUACGAAGGGUGCAAGCGUUACUCGGAAUUACUGGGCGUAAAGCGUGCGUAGGUGGUUGUUUAAGGCUGAUGUGAAAGCCCUGGGCUCAACCUGGGAAUGGCAUUGGAAACUGGGCAGCUAGAGUGCGGUAGAGGGUAGUGGAAUUCCCGGUGUAGCAGUGAAAUGCGUAGAGAUCGGGAGGAACAUCUGUGGCGAAGGCGACUGCCUGGACCAGCACUGACACUGAGGCACGAAAGCGUGGGGAGCAAACA
rnacentral:rRNA from 1 species